AUUGAACGCUGGCGGCAUGCCUUACACAUGCAAGUCGAACGGUAACGGGCCUUCGGGUGCCGACGAGUGGCGAACGGGUGAGUAAUACAUCGGAACGUGCCCGAUCGUGGGGGAUAACAAGGCGAAAGCUUUGCUAUAACCCCAACCGACCAAGGGUGGAAACCGGGGGACGGAAAGGCUUUGGGGGGACGGGGCGGCCGAUGGCAGAUUAGGUAGUUGGUGGGAUAAAAGCUUACCAAGCCGACGAUCUGUAGCUGGUCUGAGAGGAUGAUCAGCCACACUGGGACUGAGACACGGCCCAGACUCCUACGGGAGGCAGCAGUGGGGAAUUUUGGACAAUGGGCGCAAGCCUGAUCCAGCCAUGCCGCGUGCAGGAUGAAGGCCUUCGGGUUGUAAACUGCUUUUGUACGGAACGAAAAGCCUUCUUUUAAUACAGGAGGGUCAUGACGGUACCGUAAGAAUAAGCACCGGCUAACUACGUG
rnacentral:rRNA from 1 species